rnacentral:piRNA from 1 species
UGUCAUCUUUUUGACACUGCCUCCCUUGU